rnacentral:tRNA from 1 species
GAGCAGACUGUAAAUCUGCCGUCAUCGACUUCGAAGGUUCGAAUCCUUCCCCCACCACCA